UGAAAGGCAUUGAUUAGGAAGAGUAAAUCUGAAUCGAUUACCAGAGAAGGAAACUACUAGCUGAAAUGUUUCCCUAAUUAGAAGGAUUGAAAACUACCUAGGAGCUUCUAUCCGAAGUUAUCUUAAUGAUUUUAGUAGGAAUAGACGUUUUUAUUACUUGCGUUAAAGUAUCAAGUGGAUUUUUUAAAAUCAAUUUGGGUGGAACCGCGGGAAACAGAUUCUCGUCCCUUUU
rfam:Clostridium difficile 630 complete genome